CCUUCCUUCAGCUCUCCAUCAAAACUUCCACAAGUAGAGGGUCAGCAGUACACCAGCCUCCGGGACAAGUUUAUGCUGCUGACUGUAAGUUUUAAGUAACCCUAUGAAACUACAAAGUUUUUUUUCUGACUUAGAUUGAUUUCUACAGUGGUAGAAAAAUGUUUUCAGACAACCCAUACAUUUGUAAAAUAUUGCAUUCAAAGUCACUCUUCGGUCUUCGUGUAGUUUCUUUUACUACAAUCACAGCCAUAAUACUAAACAAAUCCAUAAAAACAACUUAAAUUGAUUGAUCCCAUAAAAAGAAGAAAUUUGGAGGAUUGAGUCAUUUGGUGGAAUUUAGUUUUAUUAUUUUGUGUAAAGAAUAAAUGGAAAAUAUAUAAUUUGUAUUUGUUUGUGUCUGUCUAAUGCAGCCACACGUUUUGAAACAGACAAAAGAAAUUUCCACAAAUAUGUCAUGAUAAUAUUGGAGACUGUAAAAUUUUAAAAGUGUCCAAAAUCUUUUUUCCACCACUGUACUGCUAAAGCUCCAUUUACAACAUAAGAAUAUUCACAACUAACACAUAUGCUCCUCUCAUACAUGUUAUGUAUACAUGUCAACUGUAAGAUUUACUAACAACCUGAAAACUGACAUGUUACCUCUACAGACAUGCAUUAACCUAUACAAAUAGUUAUCAUUGUCAGGCUGGCUGCUGCCAGGCCUAGUUAGUGCCCUCCCCUCUCCUUCCUCUUUCCUUUUUGGGCAGCCCAGCAGUGCAGAGGAGGCAACAGGUGUUCCCCAUCUGCCAUAAUCAGCCAGCUCAGGAACAGGGUGAAGGCAACCAAUCAAGCUUGAUUCCUGCAGCAAUAUAACCAGACACGACCCAGCUCUCACUGCCGGAUCGUAAACGCAGUCCUUCUGGACCCACCUGUUCCUGCCGUAUUGUCGUCAACCUUGGACUUUGGUUUUCACCUCGGAGAGAAGGAAACACUCACCAGAGCCGACUCCCUCCUUCUGGCGUCCAUCCCCACUCACCUGUUGCUGCUUCACGCCGCCCACCAUCUGGUCCAAAGCCCGCUGCUCCAAACCCUGGCUGCCACCGCUGUGGACCAGUUCUGAGCAUUCCUAGAAUAUUCUAUGCUUGCAGAGAUGAAAAAGUGACCUGCAGCAACCUGGCAGCACAAGCAGUGGCUGUAGCCAGUGAAGUAAUAAAUGAGCUGAACAAAAAUGAAAAUAUAAGACAAACUUCACUAAAACAACAUGAACAAACAAAGAAAGAAAUUGAAAAAAAUCAAAAAAGAAAUUGAAGACACAGCUCAAAAAUUAAAAAAGAAGAAGGAGGAUGAAGAAGGACCACUGCUGCGACAAAAAGAGUGAACCCCCCCAAAGGCCGCAGUGGACGAUUGAGCCAUCACCAUGUAUAUAGUUAGAAUGUUCGCCUGAAGUUCCAAAAUAAAAAUGUUAUAACCUGA